AGAGUUUGAUCAUGGCUCAGAACGUACGCUGGCGGCACGCCUAACACAUGCAAGUCGAACGAAGUAGCAAUACUUAGUGGCAGACGGGUGAGUAACAUGUAGGUAUCUACCCUUUGGCCUGGAAUAACACGAGGAAACUUGUGCUAAUACCGGAUAAGUCUUUACGGAGAAAGCUUUAUGCACCAUUGGAUGAGCCUGCACUUGAUUAGUUUGUUGGUGGGGUAAUGGCCUACCAAGACUGUGAUCAAUAGCUGAUUUGAGAGGAUGAUCAGCCACAUUGGGACUGAGACACGGCCCAAACUCCUACGGGAGGCAGCAGUGGGGAAUCUUGCACAAUGGAGGAAACUCUGAUGCAGCGAUGCCGCGUGAGUGAAGAAGGCCUUUGGGUUGUAAAGCUCUUUCGUCGGGGAAGAAAAUGACUGUACCCGAAUAAGAAGGUCCGGCUAACUUCGUGCCAGCAGCCGCGGUAAUACGAAGGGACCUAGCGUAGUUCGGAAUUACUGGGCUUAAAGAGUUCGUAGGUGGUUGAAAAAGUUGGUGGUGAAAUCCCAGAGCUUAACUCUGGAACUGCCAUCAAAACUUUUCAGCUAGAGUAUGAUAGAGGAAAGCAGAAUUUCUAGUGUAGAGGUGAAAUUCGUAGAUAUUAGAAAGAAUACCAAUUGCGAAGGCAGCUUUCUGGAUCAUUACUGACACUGAGGAACGAAAGCAUGGGUAGCGAAGAGGAUUAGAUACCCUCGUAGUCCAUGCCGUAAACGAUGUGUGUUAGACGUUGGAAAUUUAUUUUCAGUGUCGCAGCGAAAGCGAUAAACACACCGCCUGGGGAGUACGACCGCAAGGUUAAAACUCAAAUGAAUUGACGGGGACCCGCACAAGUAGUGGAGCAUGUGGUUUAAUUCGAAGAUACGCGCAGAACCUUACCAACACUUGACAUGUUCGUCGCGACUCUAAGAGAUUAGAGUUUUCGGUUCGGCCGGACGAAACACAGGUGCUGCAUGGCUGUCGUCAGCUCGUGUCGUGAGAUGUUGGGUUAAGUCCCGCAACGAGCGCAACCCUCACUUUUAGUUGCCAUCAUUAAGUUGGGCACUCUGAAAGAACUGCCAGUGAUAAGCUGGAGGAAGGUGGGGAUGACGUCAAGUCCUCAUGGCCCUUACGUGUUGGGCUACACACGUGCUACAAUGGUAUCUACAACAGGAAGCAAGACUGCGAGGUCAAGCAAAUCCUUAAAAGAUACCUCAGUUCGGAUUGCACUCUGCAACUCGAGUGCAUGAAGCUGGAAUUACUAGUAAUCGUGGAUCAGCGUGCCACGGUGAAUGCGUUCCCGGGUCUUGUACACACCGCCCGUCACACCAUGGGAGUUGGUUCUACCUUAAGGCAAGGUUUAAAACCCUUGACCACGGUAUAGUCAGCGACUGGGGUGAAGUCGUAACAAGGUAGCCGUAGGGGAACCUGCGGCUG
rnacentral:rRNA from 1 species